UUGGCACUUGCCACGUUAGGGUUAUAGCAAACCCUAAGAGAUCACCAUUUCCUAAAAAUUAUAGUGGUCUCUCAUAUUUUCAUCAGUGGAUUUCAAAGUCCCUAGAAUGAUCAUCUAUUAGGGUCAGAAAGUGAUAUGACCUCCAGGAGAGUUCUGUAUGCCUCAGGGGUGGGAGCAUGGCAGCAAUGGAACACAGAUUGGAGAGCUACCAGAUUCCUUAGAAGAAAACCCUUUUGGGAAGAUUAAAAACUGUCUAGGGGAGCAAGAAAGCUGCCCAAGUGAUAUCUAUGAAGUUCCCUGUCCUUCAGUUUCUCCAUAUAUGAGCAUAGCAGCAUAGCACUUUAUUCUCUCUCAGAAGAUGAGGCAAAAAGGACUUUGCACCAGGAUGCUGACAUCCAGAGGUUCAUACUUUCUUUCCUGGCACUCUUCAUCCCUGCUUCCUGGCUUUUUGCUGGCUUAAUCUCUUUGAUGUGCAACUAUCUGUGGGUGCUGCCACUAUAUCCAGAGUCUGUUGCCAUGGAACCUCCUUUGCAGAGAUCUCCUGCCUACCCCACCUCUAACUCUAUGUAAGUGAGGGUUGAACCACUCCCUUUCCUGGUGCAAGUGCAUCCCCAUUUCAUUCCCAUUUGGUCUUCUACUUCUCUUACUUGAUUUUCAAAAUCCUUUUUGAGCUCUUCUACAGCCCUAGACCAAUUUAUAUAUUUCUUGGAGGCUUUGGAUGGGAGCUUUGACUUUGUUGUCUUCUUCUGAGUGUAUGUUUUGAUCUUCCUUGUCACCGAAGUAAAUUUCUAUAGUCAGAGUUUUUUGCCCACUGUUUGCUCAUUUCCCCAGCCUAUUCCUUGACUUUUUAACUCUUUGUGAAAGAGUUAAACUCUGCUUCCAGUGUGGAG
rnacentral:lncRNA from 1 species